UUCAAUAAAUAUCAAUAAAAAUAUUUACAGAGAACAGAGCGAGAUCAUCAAAAGCUGUGGAGCCGCCUUAGGAGAAUUCUGGUUUCAAGAUGCAAGCUCCAGCGGAGUGAGAAUUGCCGGAUGGCAUUAACGGUAAUCAUAUUAACUAAGCGAGCGAAAAGUUAAUUGAAUUGCCCAAAAAGACGACAAAGGGUGGACUGAACCAGUUGCGGAUGCACUGAGAUGAUUAUAAAAUAUGCCAACUGCUCGACGACAAUGGGAAACGCCAAAAAGGAAUUUCGCUUAAUGACAACGACCACCACAAGUACAAGAGGAACUUCAGCAAAUUAAUUACACUGAGACAAAUUAUAAAUAUUUAAAG
ensembl:ncRNA lncRNA:CR44698 long non-coding RNA:CR44698